rnacentral:rRNA from 1 species
AUUGAACGCUAGCGGGGUGCUUUACACAUGCAAGUCGAACGAGUGGCGGACGGGUGAGUAAUAUAGCGGAACGUGCCCAGUAGAGGGGGAUAACUACUCGAAAGAGUGGCUAAUACAGCAUACUAUAGGAGUGGACGAUAUCGGAUUAGCUAGUUGGUGGGGUAAAGGCGCACCAAGGAUACGAUCCGUAGCAGGUUUGAGAGGACGACCAGCCACAUGGUGACUGAGACACGGCCCAGACUCCUACGGGAGGCAGCAGUGGGGAAUUUUGGACAAUGGGGGAAACCCUGAUCCAGCCAUCCCGCGUGUAUGAGAAGGCCUUCGGGUUGUAAAGUACUUUUGGCAGAGAAGCGGUAUCUGCAGAAUAAGCACCGGCUAACUACGUGCCAGCAGCCGCGGUAAUUC